GAUGAACGCUGGCGGCGUGCCUAAUACAUGCAAGUCGAGCGAACAGACGAGGAGCUUGCUCCUCUGACGUUAGCGGCGGACGGGUGAGUAACACGUGGAUAACCUACCUAUAAGACUGGGAUAACUUCGGGAAACCGGAGCUAAUACCGGAUAAUAUAUUGAACCGCAUGGUUCAAUAGUGAGAGACGGUUUUGCUGUCACUUAUAGAUGGAUACGCGCCGCAUUAGCUAGUUGGUAAGGUAAAGGCUUACCAAGGCGACGAGGCGUAGCCGACCUGAGAGAGUGAUCGGCCACACUGGAACGGAGACACGGUCCAGAGUCCUACGGGAGGCAGCAGUAGGGAAUCGUCCGCAAUGGUCGAAAGCCUGACGGAGCAACGCCGCGUGAGUGAUGAAGGUCUUCGGAUCGUAAAACUCUGUUAUUAGUGAAGAACAAAUGUGUAAGUAACUAUGCACGUCUUGACGGUACCUAAUCAGAAAGCCACGGCUAACUACGUG
rnacentral:rRNA from 1 species